rnacentral:rRNA from 1 species
CAGCCGCCACGGGAAUACAGAGGGUGCGAGCGUUAAUCGGAUUUACUGGGCGUAAAGCGUGCGUAGGCGGCUUCUUAAGUCGGAUGUGAAAUCCCUGAGCUUAACUUAGGAAUUGCAUUCGAUACUGGGAAGCUAGAGUAUGGGAGAGGAUGGUAGAAUUCCAGGUGUAGCGGUGAAAUGCGUAGAGAUCUGGAGGAAUACCGAUGGCGAAGGCAGCCAUCUGGCCUAAUACUGACGCUGAGGUACGAAAGCAUGGGGAGCAAACAGGAUUAGAGACCCCGGUAGUCCCUGUCUCUUAUAC